GACGAACGCUGGCGGCGUGCUUAACACAUGCAAGUCGAACGGAAAGGCCCUGCUUUUGUGGGGUGCUCGAGUGGCGAACGGGUGAGUAACACGUGAGUAACCUGCCCUUGACUUUGGGAUAACUUCAGGAAACUGGGGCUAAUACCGGAUAGGAGCUCCUGCUGCAUGGUGGGGGUUGGAAAGUUUCGGCGGUUGGGGAUGGACUCGCGGCUUAUCAGCUUGUUGGUGGGGUAGUGGCUUACCAAGGCUUUGACGGGUAGCCGGCCCGAGAGGGUGACCGGCCACAUUGGGACUGAGAUACGACCCAGACUCCUACAGGAGGCAGCAGUGUAGAAUAUUUCACAAUGGGCGGAAGCCUGAUGCAGCAACGCCGCGUGCGGGAUGACGGCCUUCGGGUUGUAAACCGCUUUCGCCUGUGACGAAGCGUGAGUGACGGUAAUGGGUAAAGAAGCACCGGCUAACUACGUG
rnacentral:rRNA from 1 species